AAACCAGCACCUCAAGUGGUCAGGAUGAUUAUUGGGCCUAAAGCAUCCGUAGCCUGCUCUGUAAGUUUUCGGUUAAAUCUGUACGCUCAACGUACAGGCUGCCGGGAAUACUGCAGAGCUAGGGAGUGGGAGAGGUAGACGGUACUCGGGAGGAAGUGGUAAAAUGCUUUGAUCUCUCGAUGACCACCUGUGGCGAAGGCGAUCUACCAGAACACGUCCGACGGUGAGGGAUGAAAGCUGGGGGAGCAAACCGGAUUAGAAACCCCAGUAGUCC
rnacentral:rRNA from 1 species